rnacentral:rRNA from 1 species
AGAGUUUGAUCCUGGCUCAGGACGAACGCUGGCGGCGUGCUUAACACAUGCAAGUCGAACGGAAAGGCCCUUCGGGGUACUCGAGUGGCGAACGGGUGAGUAACACGUGGGUGAUCUGCCCUGCACUCUGGGAUAAGCCUGGGAAACUGGGUCUAAUACCGGAUAGGACCACACACUUCAUGGUGAGUGGUGCAAAGCUUUUGCGGUGUGGGAUGAGCCCGCGGCCUAUCAGCUUGUUGGUGGGGUAAUGGCCUACCAAGGCGACGACGGGUAGCCGGCCUGAGAGGGUGACCGGCCACACUGGGACUGAGAUACGGCCCAGACUCCUACGGGAGGCAGCAGUGGGGAAUAUUGCACAAUGGGCGCAAGCCUGAUGCAGCGACGCCGCGUGAGGGAUGACGGCUUUCGGGUUGUAAACCUCUUUCAGCACAGACGAAGCGCAAGUGACGGUAUGUGCAGAAGAAGGACCGGCCAACUACGUGCCAGCAGCCGCGGUAAUACGUAGGGUCCGAGCGUUGUCCGGAAUUACUGGGCGUAAAGAGCUCGUAGGUGGUUUGUCGCGUUGUUCGUGAAAACUCACAGCUUAACUGUGGGCGUGCGGGCGAUACGGGCAGACUUGAGUACUGCAGGGGAGACUGGAAUUCCUGGUGUAGCGGUGGAAUGCGCAGAUAUCAGGAGGAACACCGGUGGCGAAGGCGGGUCUCUGGGCAGUAACUGACGCUGAGGAGCGAAAGCGUGGGGAGCGAACAGGAUUAGAUACCCUGGUAGUCC